GUAGAGUUUGAUCCUGGCUCAGAUUGAACGCUGGCGGCAUGCCUUACACAUGCAAGUCGAACGGCAGCACGGGUGCUUGCACCUGGUGGCGAGUGGCGAACGGGUGAGUAAUACAUCGGAACAUGUCCUGUAGUGGGGGAUAGCCCGGCGAAAGCCGGAUUAAUACCGCAUACGAUCUACGGAUGAAAGCGGGGGGACCUUCGGGCCUCGCGCUAUAGGGUUGGCCGAUGGCUGAUUAGCUAGUUGGUGGGGUAAAGGCCUACCAAGGCGACGAUCAGUAGCUGGUCUGAGAGGACGACCAGCCACACUGGGACUGAGACACGGCCCAGACUCCUACGGGAGGCAGCAGUGGGGAAUUUUGGACAAUGGGCGAAAGCCUGAUCCAGCAAUGCCGCGUGUGUGAAGAAGGCCUUCGGGUUGUAAAGCACUUUUGUCCGGAAAGAAAUCCUUGGCUCUAAUACAGUCGGGGGGAUGACGGUACCGGAAGAAUAAGCACCGGCUAACUACGUG
rnacentral:rRNA from 1 species